AGUUGGAGGGAGCUCACUAAUUUUGGUGGCUGUUAUCACAGAUAUUGAUGUUAGACAUCAUUACAUCAUUUUGUUUUGCAGAAGGAGCAGGGACUAUGUGGGCCUAGCUCAUUGUUAGUGAAACCAAAAACCAAUAAUACAUAAUGAGCAUAUAUGGAGUGCUGCACUUCUGAUUUUCAAUCUGAAUGCUUUGUUUUCAUUGGCAUAGGUCAUAUUAAAAAAGGCCUAGAAAAUGGGUCCAUAAAAAUGGACAAGGGUAAAAAACUGUAGGUGAAUUGGGCUGGCUUAACCCUUUGUCUUUUUCUUGUCCCUUCUCUUUUUCUUUUCUUACUAAAGGCCAGGUUUUCUCACCCUCCCACAUUUUCAGUAAUACCUGACUUAGCCCCCUUGACAAUCAUAGGGCUAUUUGUGGAGUAAGGUACUAUUCAAAGUGUGUGAAAGUGGCAGAAUUGGUUCCUAAAAGAACAAUUUUCCAGACCGACCUAGUUCUCUCUAGGUAAUGCUGCAUUAAAGUAUUUGCUUUUUAUUACUUGUUAGUUACGGGUGGGAGGGGGGCAUUUGUUAUGGGGCAUGGGGAGCAGUUGCUCCCCCCACCAGACCUUUAUUUUUCCUCCCCAGACUUUUCAUCGCUCUUCUCCAGCCAGGUCUGCAGUGUUUCCUCUAGCCCUCCAGGGCCACUGCAGGGUGCUCUGAGACGGGGCUCCUAAUCACUGUAUUGUCAGUGUCUCUCCCUUCUCCUCACUCGCUGGACAGGAAGCAGCGGUGGUGACUGGAACUGAGCGUGGAUCAACCCGGGCCCCAAUCCCUCCUCUGGGCCUGCCACCAAUGAGCAUCCCCCUUGGCCAGCUGCUGCCCACUAAUUCUCCAUAAGCAUCUGUGGCCUCAGCGGGGAGGUGGAAGCACAAAUUUGCCCUUCCCUAAAUGUUUCUGAAAUGACUUUUUUGCUUACACUGAACCUUUCUGACAAGGGUGUUCUUACAGUCUGUGGGUGGACCAAGAAAAGAUGUUCAGAGAAUCAAGCUCUGAACUACCUUCUUCCAUGGUCCAGCUGCCAGGAGCGGGUGUGGUGCAGGUGACCAGAGAGGCAAGUUGCUGAGGCUGUAAUAAAUUUUCUAGCCAGGGUAUUUUAGUGUCUUGUUUAUGCUUAAGGUUGGCUGGUUUUCUGAUACUGGUUUAUUAUUACCUGCUAAGCCCUUUUCUGAAAUAAUAUACAACCCCCCUUUUUUCUGUUUCACUAACCUUAGUGUUCGCUGUAGCCAUGUUAAACAAACAUCUGAUUUGGCAUGGAAAAAACAGUCAAUUGUUUCCUUUAAAUCUUAAUGUUUUUGGGCCUCAGGAACAUCUGAGUAACUAUUUAAUGAGAAGACUUCUGGUGAAAUGUAGGAGCUGCUGGAGGUCUCUAGCUAUGUGCACACAGCCUCAGCCUGUUCCAUAUGUGCAAUUAGCAGUCAGAGGCUGAAUCUGAGGAGCAGCACCAGGGACUGGAGAUAAUUAGACUCAGAAAGGAGCCUUGGAGUGAGCUCAACACCAGCAGGGAGUGACCUUGCCCAGGAGUGGAGGUUCCAGAGUGGACCCAGGAGCAUGAAACAUAAAGAGAUGAUGGCCAAGCCGAGGCUGAGCGCUGGAUGACUACACACAUUCUUGACCCAAACAGGAAGUGAUGGAGUGAUUACUGUGAAAGUAGGUUUACUUUAGAUUACUUUGGAGUACAAUGGGGUCAUUCUGAGACCACAACCCUUUGGA